GAGACAUUAUAAAGCUACAGAUGAGUUCAGGGAUAUUAAUGGUAUCCCUGCCACCAUCUGCCAAAGCUCUGGCAGAUGAGGCCACUUCCCUCUGUUCCCUCUUGUCAAGCCCAGAACAACCCUCAUCGAAGCUGUGUAUCUCUAGCAACCUACACUAAAAGUCACUACAAGAUUCAAAAUCCUACCCAUUUCCUGAGUAGAAGGGAAGAUGCAUAUAUUCUGUUGUAAAGAGUUACGGCAAGGGAUCCCUGGGUGGCUCGGCAGUUUUGCGCCUGCCUUCGGCCCAGGGCAUGAUCCUGGAGUCCAGGGAUCAAGUCCUGCAUCAGGCUAUCGGCAUGGAGCCUGCUUCUCCCUCUGCCUGUGUCUCUGCCUCUCUCUUUCUCUCUAUGUCUGUCAUGAAUAAAUAAAUAAAAUCUUAAAAAAAAAAAAGAGUUACAGCAGAAAAUGAAACUUGAUCACGAUGUUAUCCUUCCAUACAAAGCAUUGUUGCAUACGUUAUCCCAUUUGAUUUUCACAACUGUCAUAGGGUACAGGUCAAGGAACUUAUUAUUUUAACCUGUUAAUGAAGAAAGUCAGACUCUGGUUAAGCAGUUUGCUACAAGGCACAUAGCUGGUUAGUGGGCGUGCUGGAUUUGCUCGUGGUUCAGGUUAACCUUGUGCUCUUCUUGCUCCUCUCAAUCAUUCUCUCAGGAUCUUUGAAAACCUAUAUUGUUCUGUACUAGGUCUGUUUUCUUUUUAUGUCAUAAUUUGAAAACUUUGUACAUUGAAAAUAAUUCUGUUUCUACUUCUUUUGUCAAAAUUGUUUUUAUGUUUGUCUUAAGCUUUGCCUUCAUUAAGACCUUUACCCCACAGGAGUAAAUGUUUUAGGGCAGUAGGUCUCAGACUUUAUCAUUCUUUCUUUUUUUUAAGAUUUAUUUAUUUAUUCAUGAGACACACACACACACACACACACACACAGACAAACAGACAAACACAGGCAGGGGGAGAAGUAGGCUCCAUGCAGGGAGCCCGACCUGCAACUCGAUGCCAGGUCUCCAGGAUCACACCCUGGACUGAAGGUGACGCUAAACCGCUGAGCCACCGGGGCUGCCCAGACUUUAUCAUUCUUAAAAAUCACCCAGGGAUGGGCACCUGGGUGGCUCGUGGGUCCCUGAUGAAUGUUUGGUGAGUGAAUGAGUGAGAGAGAAUCCAUCAAAUCCUCCUUGUGGUCUACAAGUUUCUGUGAUCUGACCCUGACUUAUCCUUGUAACCUCAUCUCUCUCCUCUCUCACCUUUAUUCUGAUCACACUGGCCUUCAAGCCUUUGAAAAUGCUCAACUGUGACCUCUAGUCCAAAGAGUGUCAAAACACUGCCUGUGGGGCAAAUCUGUCCUACCAUCUAUUACGAUAAAGUGUUAUUGGGGCACCUGGGUGGCUCAGUCGGUUAAGUGUCUGCCUUUGGCUCAAGGCGUGAUCCCAGGUCCAGGGAGUGAGUCCUGCAUUGAGCUUCCUGUGAGGAGCCUGCUUCUCCCUCUUCCUGUGUCUCUGCCUCUCUCUGUGUGUCUCUCAUGAAUAAAUAAAUAAAAUCUAAAAAAAAACAAAACAAAAAACCCUCUAACUUCAA
rnacentral:lncRNA from 1 species